UGAAUAUUCCUGUCUGACCGAUAGCGAACGAGUACCGUGAGGGAAAGGUGAAAAGGACCCCGGGAGGGGAGUGAAACAGUCUCUGAAACCGUGCGCCUACAAUCCGUCGGAGCCCUUUUGUGGGGUGACGGCGUGCCUAUCGAAAAAUGAGUCUGCGAGUCAGUGGCAUGUGGCGAGCAUAACCCGUGUGGGGUAUGCGUAGCGAAGGCGAGUCUUAAAAGGCGUUUGAGUCGCGUGUCCUGGACCCGAAGCGGGAUGAUCUAGCCCUGAGCAGGUUGAAGCGCGGGUAAGACCGCGUGGAGGACCGAACCCACCUGGGUUGAAAACCGGGGGGAUGACUUGGGGCUAGGGGUGAAAGGCCAAUCAAAUUCCGUGAUAGCUGGUUCUCUCCGAAAUGCAUUUGGGUGCAGCGUCGGGUCAUUACGUCCCGGGGGUAGAGCUACUGGAUGCUUGCGGGCCCGUAUCGGGUACCAACAGCAACCAAACUCCGAAUACCGGUGACGCGUAUCCCGGCAGUGAGUCGGCGGGGGAUAAGCUUCGUCGUCGAAAGGGAAACAGCCCAGACCGUCGUCUAAGGUCCCGAAGCGUGUGCUAAGUGGGAAAGGAUGUGGAGUCGCAUAGACAGCCAGGAGGUUGGCUCAGAAGCAGCCACCCUUGAAAGAGUGCGUAACAGCUCACUGGUCUAGUGGUUCCGCGCCGACAAUGUAGCGGGGCUCAAGCACACCACCGAAGACGCGGCAGUAUUUUGUACUGGGUAGGAGAGCGUCCCAUGAGGGGCGAAGCGGCCGUGUGAACGCGCCGUGGACUUCAUGGGAGUGAGAAUGCAGACAUGAGUAGCGAGAGACGGGUGAAGAUCCCGUCCGCUGGAUGACCAAGGGUUCCAGGGCCACGUUCAUCGUCCCUGGGUGAGUCGGGUCCUAAGGCGAGGCCGACAGGCGUAGUCGAAUGGAUGAACGGGUCGAUAUUCCCGUACCGGCUUUCAGCCGCCAAAACCGAGGCUUGGAGUACUAACCUCCGGGUCCGGGCUUACUGCUCCUUCGGGGGCGGGAUGCCCUGGCCUGUUGGGACCGAUCCUUGUAGUAGGUCAGCGCAGGAGUGACGCAGAAGGGUAGCCGGCCGCGGAGGUGGUCUUCCGUGGUCAAGCACGCAGGGCGUGGGACAGGCAAAUCCGUCCCGCAUGGGUCCGAGGUGCGAUGAUGGGGGCCUUAUGGCCCGAUAUCCGGUGAUCCCGGCUGCCGAGAAAAGCUUCGGCGUCAGGCUCGAAGCCGCCCGUACCCCAAACCGACACUGGUGGUCAGGUAGAGAAUACCAAAGCGAUCGAGCGAAUCCUGGUCAAGGAACUCGGCAAAUCACUCCCGUUCCUUCGGUUUAAGGGAGACCCCCGAUGGUGAACACACUUGCUGUGGGAGCUUUUGGGGGUGGCACAGACCAGGGGGUAGCGACUGUUUACCAAAAACACAGGUGCAUGCGAAGGCGCAAGCCGCUGUAUAUGCACUGACGCCUGCCCGGUGCCGGAAGGUUAAGAGGAUCCGUCAGCCUUCGGGUGAAGCGGUGAAUUCAAGCCCCGGUAAACGGCGGUGGUAACUAUAACCAUCCUAAGGUAGCGAAAUUCCUUGUCGGGUAAGUUCCGACCUGCACGAAUGGCGUAAUGAUGGCCAGGCUGUCUCCACCCGAGACUCAGUGAAAUUGAACUCGCUGUGAAGAUGCAGUGUACCCGCGGCAAGACGGAAAGACCCCGUGAACCUUUACUAUAGCUUGACACUGAACACUGGUCCUUGAUGUGUAGGAUAGGUGGGAGGCUUUGAAGUGUGGACGCCAGUCUGCAUGGAGCCAUCCUUGAAAUACCACCCUUUAAUGGCUGGUGUUCUAACGUGGGCCCGUGAUCCGGGUUGCGGACAGUGUCUGGUGGGUAGUUUGACUGGGGCGGUCUCCUCCUAAAGAGUAACGGAGGAGCACGAAGGUCAGCUAAUCCUGGUCGGACAUCAGGAGGUUAGUGCAAUGGCAUAAGCUGGCUUGACUGCGAGCGUGACGGCGCGAGCAGGUGCGAAAGCAGGUCAUAGUGAUCCGGUGGUUCUGAAUGGAAGGGCCAUCGCUCAACGGAUAAAAGGUACUCCGGGGAUAACAGGCUGAUACCGCCCAAGAGUUCAUAUCGACGGCGGUGUUUGGCACCUCGAUGUCGGCUCAUCACAUCCUGGGGCUGAAGUAGGUCCCAAGG
rnacentral:rRNA from 1 species